rnacentral:lncRNA from 1 species
UUCUCAAGAAGGCUCAGUAGCCGAAACCUUUUAUUACAUAAAACCUCUUAUUCAAAAAAUUUUAAAACAGUUUGUUAGAAGAUAACUCAUCCUCUCUGACCCUUGAACCGAGUUUCAGUACUGCUGUUGCAUGUUGACAGCCAUUCUGAAACUAUUAAAAAAAAUUUUACAUUCACAGCUCAUAAUCUCUUGUGGCAUAAGGGACGAGAAUUACAUGGGAAUACAUAUGUGUGGCUAUAGUCAGACUUGCUCCUUAAUUGCCUAUAAAACAUUUACUUCCACUAUUUGACAUAAAUUUACAAUUUUCUAUCACACAUGAAAUUCAAUCUGGACACAUAAAAAGGCAGUAGUUGCCUGUCAUAAAUUAUUGCAACUUUUUGAAACUUCUUUCGACAAAAAGUUGUCUGUUAGUAAAAGCAUCCCACAAAAGAUGCUGUAAGCACUAAAACAAAACCUUGUAUUCAUCUCGGUAACUGUAGAGGAUAAGUGCAGGAACCCUGCAGAGAGAAGAAAAAGAGAAAAGUUUUAACCUUUGGAACUGCAACUUCAAAAGCUAUAAUACCUGUGGCAAAGCUCAGCAAUAAGCUAACAGCAAAGAUUCAGUAGAAAAGCAAGUUUUAGUUCCUCUGGAUGCGGCUGCAGUUUUCCCCUUCAUUCUCUUUCCAUUUAGCCUGUUCAGUUUUCAUUCAGUGAUCUGAAGGCUUAUGGCUAAGUAGUACUCUGCGCAGGCAUCAGAUGGGAAAGGAAGACUUUGUCAGGGAUUGUGUUACAUUCAUACCCAGUAAAAUUCCCCAAAUCAUGGAAUGCUAUUUGGAUGUAGUAACUGGAUUCUGUUGCUCGCAGCCUCGCAAGCCACAGGAAGAAAACAAAGUUUCAUGUGAUAAUUAGUUGCCAUGGUAAACAUAAGCAAUUCUGGUGUAUCUUGAAAAAGGAAUCAAAGUAAGUUUUUGGUCUCAUUUAAAGGUUAAGUAGUACCUUCAAGCUGAACAUGGGUUUAAGAAAAUGUAUUACAAAUGCAACCCACAACAGGACAUAAAUACCCAGGUCUCACUGAACUGUACCAGUACAUGCCAAAAGAUGCAAAUUUGAGGCUUAAAACCAGAUGUGCCCAGACUGUUUCAGCCUUGCCAGAAUCCAACAAGGAGACUACAAGUUGAACACGAAUGGUUUUAUGCUUAGAAAACAGAAAGAGGCUUUACUGCAGGUGUUGGGAGAGCAUGCAUUGUGUUUGCUUAAAGUCUGUCAGCUAUGCCAGAUGCCCACAGUAUUCAUUCAAAGCAAAGCAGGAGGAAUUAAAUGAAUUUUAAAAGGCAAGCUGAGUCCCUCCCAGGAGAAAAGAGGGUUCUUCUGUAGUAUAUUAAAUACAUAUAUAUAUUUAUAUAUAUAUAGUAUAUAUAAAGAGGUAUUCUUUCGUAGAAGAGCAUUAUACCUGACUGUAUGCAAUUGUUUGCUCUUCAGUUUUAUGAACAAAGCAGCAAGUGAGGUUAACAGUGGGAAUACAUUUUAGAAUUUCUUGAAAAGGCUAAUAAAAAGAA